rnacentral:rRNA from 1 species
AGAGUUUGAUCAUGGCUCAGAUUGAACGCUGGCGGCAGGCCUAACACAUGCAAGUCGAACGGUAACAGGAUAGCUUGCUAUCGCUGACGAGUGGCGGACGGGUGAGUAAUACUUAGGGAUCUGCCUCUGUGUGGGGGAUAACUAUUGGAAACGAUAGCUAAUACCGCAUAAUGUCUACGGACCAAAGCGGGCUUCGGCUCGUGCGCAGAGAGGAACCUAAGCGAGAUUAGCUAGUUGGUGAGGUAAAGGCUCACCAAGGCGACAAUCUCUAGCUGUUCUGAGAGGAAGAUCAGCCACACUGGAACUGAGACACGGUCCAAAC